rnacentral:rRNA from 1 species
GACGAACGCUGGCGGCGUGCUUAACACAUGCAAGUCGAACAUGAUGCCCGCUUGCUGGGCGGAUUAGUGGCGAACGGGUGAGUAAUACGUGAGUAACCUGCCCUUGACUCUGGGAUAAGCCUGGGAAACUGGGUCUAAUACUGGAUACUACUUCUUACCGCAUGGUGGGUGGUGGAAAGGGUUUUACUGGUUUUGGAUGGGCUCACGGCCUAUCAGCUUGUUGGUGGGGUAAUGGCUCACCAAGGCGACGACGGGUAGCCGGCCUGAGAGGGUGACCGGCCACACUGGGACUGAGACACGGCCCAGACUCCUACGGGAGGCAGCAGUGGGGAAUAUUGCACAAUGGGCGGAAGCCUGAUGCAGCGACGCCGCGUGAGGGAUGACGGCCUCGGGUUGUAAACCUCUUUCAGUAGGGAAGAAGCGAGAGUGACGGUACCUGCAGAAGAAGCGCCGGCUACUACGUGCCAGCAGCCGCGGUAAUACGUAGGGCGCAAGCGUUGUCCGGAAAUUAUUGGGCGUAAAGAGCUCGUAGGCGGUUUGUCGCGUCUGCUGUGAAAGCCCGGGGCUCAACCCCGGGUCUGCAGUGGGUACGGGCAGACUAGAGUGCAGUAGGGGAGACUGGAAUUCCUGGUGUAGCGGUGAAAUGCGCAGAUAUCAGGAGGAACACCGAUGGCGAAGGCAGGUCUCUGGGCUGUUACUGACGUUGAGGAGCGAAAGCAUGGGGAGCGAACAGGAUUAGAUACCCCUGGUAGUCCAUGCCGUAAACGUUGGGCACUAGGUGUGGGGGACAUUCCACGUUUUUCCGCGCCGUAGCUAACGCAUUAAGUGCCCCGCCU